UACGUAGGGUGCGAGCGUUGCCCGGAUUUAUUGGGCGUAAAGGGCGCGUAGGCGGUCAGCACAAGUCAGUUGUGAAAUCUCCGGGCUUAACUCGGAACGGUCAAGUGAUACUGUCGGACUAGAGUACAGAAGGGGCAACUGGAAUUCUCGGUGUAGCGGUGAAAUGCGUAGAGUAUCGAGAGGAACACCUGCGGCGAAGGCGGCAUCCUGGACCAUGACUGACGCUGAGGAGCGAAAGGCCAGGGGAGCAAACGGG
rnacentral:rRNA from 1 species